rnacentral:rRNA from 1 species
GACGAACGCUGGCGGCAUGCUUAACACAUGCAAGUCGAACGGAAAGGCCCUGCUUGCAGCGUACUCGAGUGGCGGACGGGUGAGUAACGCGUGGGUGAUCUGCUCUGCGCGUCGGGUUACGCCUGGAAACCUGCGCCUAUUACGCAAAAGGCGCGAUGGUGAGAGUGGUGGUUGGUCGGUUUUUUCGGUGUAGGAUGAGCUCGCGGCCUAUCAGCUUGUUGGUGGGGUAAUGGCCUACCAAGGCGGCGACGGGUAGCUGGCCUGAGAGGGUGGACGGCCAUACUGGGACUUAGGGACGGCCCCGGCUGGUACGGGUGGCAGCUGGGGGGAAUCUUGCACAAUCGGUGCAAGGCGUAUGAAGAGAGUCUGCGGGUUGGAUGACGGUCUUCGGGUGGUAAACGCGUUGCGCGAGGAACGCAGCUUUUUGUGACGGUACCUAGAUAAGAAGCACCGGCUAACUACGUG